ensembl:lncRNA
UGUGCUAUGGGGCACAGAGCUAUGGGGCACCUAUGGGGCUCUGUGCUAUGGGCAGGGGGUUAUGAGGUAGUGCUUUGGGGCUCAGGCUUAUGGGGCACGCUAUGGGGCCAUCUGUUGCUAUGGGCCACUAUGGGGUCGAGCUAUGGGCUCGUGCUAUGGGGCACGCCUAUAGGGGCUCUGUUCCUUUGUCUGCUAUUGGGGCCGUAUGGGGCUCUGUGUUAUGGGAGACACUAUGGGGCUCAGAGCUAUGGGGCAGGGGGUUAUGGGGCUCUGUGCUAUGGGGCAGGGGGUUAUGGGGCACAGGGCUAUAGGGUGAUGUGCUAUGGGGCUCUAUGCUAUGGGGUGUGCUAUGGGGCACAGAGCUAUGGGGUGUGCUAUGGGGCACAGAGCUAUGGGGCACAGAGCUAUGGGGUGUGCUAUGGGGCGCUGUGCUAUGGGGCACAGAGCUAUGGGGUGUGCUAUGGGGCUCUAUGCUAUGGGGUGUGCUAUGGGGCACAGAGCUAUGGGGCUCUAUGCUAUGGGGUGCGCUAUGGGGCGCUAUGUUAUGGGGUGCUAUGCUAUGGGGCACACUAUGGGGUGCUACGCUAUGGGGCGCUGCUGUGGGGCUGGCCCCAUCCCCGCCGCCGUCAUCAAUGGGGCUGAGCAGCUCCGGCCCCACAAGUGGCGCCAUGUGGGGCUGACGGGACCUGUGGGGCACAGAGAGAGAUUGACCCCAUAGAGCCUGACCCAUAGAGACACAUAGGGACCUAUAGGGACCCAUAGAGACCCCAUAGAGCCCUGACCCACAGAUCCCACCCCAUAGAGACCCCAUAGUAACCCACAGAGACCCAUAGAGACCCCAUAGACCCCAUAGAGACCAAUAGAACCCCAUAGACCCCAUAGAGACCCAUAGAGACCCCAUAGAGACCCAUAGAGACCCAUAGAGACCCAUAGAGACCCCAUAGAGACCCCAUAUCAUCCUAUAUAACCCAAUAUCCCCCCAUAUCCCCCCAUAGAACCCCAUAGAGGCCCCAUAGAGACCCCAUAGACCCCAUAUAACCCCCAUAAACCCCAUAGACCCCAUAUAAACCCCAUAGAGCCCCAUAGAACCCCAUAUAAACCCCAUAGACACCAUAGAACCCCAUAUCACCCCAUAUCACCCAUAGACACCCCAUAGAGACCCCAUAUACCCCAUAUAACCACAUAGAGACCCAUAGGGACCCCAUAGAGACCCAUAGAGACCCCAUAGAGACCAAUAGAACCCCAUAGACCCCAUAGAGACCCAUAGAGACCCCAUAGAGACCCCAUAGAGACCCCAUAGAGCGCUGACCCACAGAUCCCACCCCAUAGAGACC